ensembl:snRNA U6 U6 spliceosomal RNA
GCUGGCUUUGCCGGUUUGGAUCCUGAAAGUGGAAGGAUACAGAGAAGUGAGCAUUGGUCCCUGUGCAGGAUGACCUGCGCAUUAGUGAAACGUUCCAUAUUUUG